GUGCUGGCUUCAGCAGCACAUAUACUAAAAUUGGAAUGGUACAGAGAUUAGCAUGGCCCUUGGGCAAGGAAGACACUAUAAUUCGUGAAGAGUUCCAUUAAAAA
ensembl:snRNA U6 U6 spliceosomal RNA